rnacentral:rRNA from 1 species
ACUGCUCAGUAACACGUGGACAACCUGCCCUUAGGACGGGGAUGAACCCGGGAAACUGGGUAUAAUACCCGAUAGGUCUCGAUUGCUGGAAUGCAUCGAGAUUUAAAGCUCCGGCGCCUAAGGAUGGGUCUGCGGCCUAUCAGGUAGUAGUGGGUGUAGCGUACCUACUAGCCUACGACGGGUACGGGUUGUGAGAGCAAGAGCCCGGAGAUGGAUUCUGAGACACGAAUCCAGGCCCUACGGGGUGCAGCAGGCGCGAAAACUUUACAAUGCUGGCAACAGCGAUAAGGGAACCUCGAGUGCCAGGUUACAAAUCUGGCUGUCGAGAUGCCUAAAAAGCAUUUCAUAGCAAGGGCCGGGCAAGACCGGUGCCAGCCGCCGCGGUAACACCGGCGGCUCGAGUGGUAACCGUUAUUAUUGGGUCUAAAGGGUCUGUAGCCGGCCGGAUAAGUCUCUUGAGAAAUCUGGCAGCUUAACUGUCAGGCUUUCAGGAGAUACUGUCUGGCUCGAGGCCGGGAGAGGUGAGAGGUACUUCAGGGGUAGGGGUGAAAUCUUGUAAUCCUUGAAGGACCACCAGUGGCGAAGGCGUCUCACCAGAACGGACCUGACGGCAAGGGACGAAAGCUAGGGGCACGAACCGGAUUAGAUACCCGGGUAGUCCUAGCCGUAAACGAUACUCGCUAGGUGUCGGCCACGGUGCGACCGUUGUCGGUGCCGUAGGGAAGCCGUGAAGCGAGCCACCUGGGAAGUACGGCCGCAAGGCUGAAACUUAAAGGAAUUGGCGGGGGAGCAC